rnacentral:misc_RNA from 1 species
GAUGAAGAACGUAGCGAAAUGCGAUACGUAAUGUGAAUUGCAGAAUUCAGUGAAUCAUCGAAUCUUUGAACGCACAUUGCGCCCGCCAGCAUUCUGGCGGGCAUGCCUGUUCGAGCGUCAUUUCAACCCUCGACUUCCCUUUGGGGAAAUCGGCGUUGGGGACCGGCUGUAUACCGCCGGCCCCGAAAUGAAGUGGCGGCCCGUCCGCGGCGACCUCUGCGUAGUAAUCCAACUCGCACCGGAACCCCGACGUGGCCACGCCGUAAAACCCCCGACUUCUGAACGUUGACCUCGGAUCAGGUAGGAAUACCCGCUGAACUUAAGCAUAUCAAUAAGCGGAGGA